rnacentral:tRNA from 1 species
GGAAAGUUGCCGGAGUGGUCGAACGGGGCAGACUCGAAAUCUGUUGAUCCCUUUUUUGGGGUCCGGGGGUUCGAAUCCCUCACUUUCCG